GGUAACAGAAGGGUGUGGUAGGGAUGGUAACCGCAAGGUGUGGUAGGGAUGGUAACCGCAAGGUGUGGUAGGGAUGGUAAUCACAAGGUGUGGUAGGGAUGGUAACCACAAGGUGUGGUAGGGAUGGUAACCACAAGGUGUGGUAGGGAUGGUAACAGAAGGGUGUGGUAGGGAUGGUAAUCACAAGGUGUGGUAGGGAUGGUAACCACAAGGUGUGGUAGGGAUGGUAACCACAAGGUGUGGUAGGGAUGGUAACAGAAGGGUGUGGUAGGGAUGGUAACCGCAAGGUGUGGUAGGGAUGGUAACAGAAGGGUGUGGUAGGGAUGGUAAUCACAAGGUGUGGUAGGGAUGGUAACCGCAAGGUGUGGUAGGGAUGGUAACCGCAAGGUGUGGUAGGGAUGGGGUAUGGGUAGGGUGUGAGGAAUCAAGGGGGAAAGGAUUAGGAUUGGGUCUGUCACAUGGGCCUGCAUACCUGCUGACUAACACAGCCAUGCUGGCUCUUCAGACUGGACACCGUGUCCUGGAACUUUUGGGUCUGCUCCUCAGCCUGGAGAGAGAGGGGAGAGAGGGAGGAAAUGAGAGGGGGUCAAAAAGAUGCAGUUUGAGCUCAUAAAGGAGCUAGAGGUGAGAUAGACAUUGGUAGAUAGAGAGGGCAUUGAGUAAAGUGAUUAAUCCUAACAUGGAAAAGUCCAUUCUGAAACCCACUGCAUACUCUGGGAGACUGCUGGUGUGAACCUGGACAUGGUUCUCUGGCUGUACACAGAGUCCAUCAUAGCAAAUGAGGAUGAACAAAAGCAGUGGAUGGAGUUUUUUCAAUAAUUUUCUGUCUGAGACUGGGUUGUGGGCAUGUACACUUCCACAUACAUGUGCUGGACCCCUCUGUCUCCCUGUGGAUCGUCUCUCUCUCUUUCUCUCCCUCCCUGCUCUUUACUUCUCUCAUGUCUGGGAGCAGUAAUC
rnacentral:lncRNA from 1 species